rnacentral:miRNA from 1 species
GAGCCAUUUCUUUGUGUUUG